GCAUAUCAUUAGCGGAGGAAAAGGAAUCCAACAGGGAUUGCCUCAGUAACGGCGAGUGAAGCGGCAACAGCUCAAAUUUGAAAUCUGGCCUCACGGUCCGAGUUGUAAUUUGUAGAGGAUGCUUUUGGCGAGGUGCUUUCCGAGUUCCCUGGAACGGGACGCCAUAGAGGGUGAGAGCCCCGUACGGUAAGACCACCGAGCCUCUGUAAAGCUCCUUCGACGAGUCGAGUAGUUUGGGAAUGCUGCUCUAAAUGGGAGGUGUACGUCUUCUAAAGCUAAAUACCGGCCAGAGACCGAUAGCGCACAAGUAGAGUGAUCGAAAGAUGAAAAGCACUUUGAAAAGAGGGUUAAAAAGUACGUGAAAUUGUUGAAAGGGAAGCAUUCAUGACCAGACUUGGGCUUGGUUGAACAUCCGGCGUUCUCGCCGGUGCACUCUGCCAGUCCAGGCCAGCAUCAGUUUGCCCCGGGGGACAAAGGCGGUGGGAAUGUGGCUCUCUUCGGGGAGUGUUAUAGCCCGCCGUGUAAUGCCCUGGGGCGGACUGAGGAACGCGCUUCGGCACGGAUGCUGGCGUAAUGGUCAUCAAUGACCCGUCUUGAAACACGGACCAAGGAGUCGUCUUCGUAUGCGAGUGUUCCGGGUGUCAAACCCCUACGCGUAAUGAAAGUGAACGUAGGUGAGAGCUUCGGCGCAUCACCGACCGAUCCUGAUGUUCUCGGAUGGAUUUGAGUAAGAGCAUACGGGGCCGGGACCCGAAAGAAAGGUGAACUAUGCCUGUAUAGGGUGAAGCCAGAGGAAACUCUGGUGGAGGCUCGCAGCGGUUCUGACGUGCAAAUCGAUCGUCAAUAUGGGCAUGGGGGCGAAGACUAAUCGAACCUUCUAGUAGCUGGGUUUAGCGA
rnacentral:rRNA from 1 species